rnacentral:rRNA from 1 species
CACGUAGGGCGCAAGCGUUGUCCGGAAUUAUUGGGCGUAAAGAGCUCGUAGGCGGUCUGUUGCGUCUGCUGUGAAAACCCGGGGCUUAACCCCUGGCUUGCAGUGGAUACGGACAGACUAGAGGUAGGUAGGGGAGAAUGGAAUUCCCGGUGUAGCGGUGAAAUGCGCAGAUAUCGGGAGGAACACCGGUGGCGAAGGCGCUCUGCUGGACCAUAACUGACACUCAGGGACGAAAGCUAGGGGAGCGAAUGGG